rnacentral:rRNA from 1 species
UACGUAGGUGGCAAGCGUUGUCCGGAUUUACUGGGCGUAAAGAGCGCGCAGGCGGUCGUUCAAGUCGCGUGUGAAAGCCCCCGGCUCAACUGGGGAGGGUCACGCGAUACUGAUCGACUGGAAGGCAGGAGAGGGUAGUGGAAUUCCCGGUGUGGUGGUGAAAUGCGUAGAUAUCGGGAGGAACACCAGUGGCGAAGGCGACUACCUGGCCUGUUCUUGACGCUGAGGCGCGAAAGCUAGGGGAGCAAACGGG